UACGUAGGUGGCAAGCGUUAUCCGGAUUUAUUGGGUGUAAAGGGCGUGUAGGCGGGAGCGCAAGUCAGAUGUGAAAACUCAGGGCUCAACCCUGAGCCUGCAUUUGAAACUGUGUUUCUUGAGUGCUGGAGAGGCAAUCGGAAUUCCGUGUGCAGCGGUGAAAUGCGUAGAUAUACGGAGGAACACCAGUGGCGAAGGCGGAUUGCUGGACAGUAACUGACGCUGAGGCGCGAAAGCGUGGGGAGCAAACAGG
rnacentral:rRNA from 1 species